UGACCGGAUCACCGGCUAGCGUUUUCGAACAUUUGAGGGGAAACCUUUGGUUCUUUGUUUCGUCGGGCAGGGAGCAGCCCCAAGCGCACUCUUAGAAGGCGCAAAGCCCAGGGGAAGCGGAGCGCUCACACCUCGCGGCUGUGCCCUGUCCCUUGGUAGACGCUGACAGCUGAGAGUGCCAACCACGAGGGACGGGGUCACCAAGUUUCGCCAGCAGAGAGCAAUGUUUUCAUGCCUGCCCUGGGAGUGAUAGCGUAAUAUUAGUGUUCUAAAAAUAAACCCUCUCUCUGAAGCUCCGCACAGGCACAAAUGCAUUCCACCGGGCAGGUCAGAAACAGGACCUGGAAGGAGAAAGCGACUGAGACUUAAUUUUAAAGAACUCAUUCAUAUUGCUAUGUACCUUUGACAUUUUUUAACUAGUGUUUUUAAUUUUAAUAAUACGGAUACUCUUGACAUAUUAGGCAUUUGAUUUUAGUGAUCCAUAAAUCAGAAAUGAUAUUAAUAAUAUGCUUGGAAUUUUUUAAAAGCUUUAAAUUUUGCGAUAAUUGACAGCAAUGGUAAUGAAAUUGAUAAAUGCUAAUUCGAUUCUUGACUGUUUGAUAGAGGGAGAAAGGAAUCUACUCCCUGACACAUAUAAAUGUUUUCAGUACACAAUAACAUCAUAUUUUUUUUUCAAUGUUUUCGUUUAAUCUUAUUUGAAAAUGCCUGAUUCUUUAGUGGUAUUAGAGUUACAUUGCUACUAAAGAUUAGAUUUUGUAACAGAACAAAGUUUAGUGUCUGAAAAAGAGAAUACAAAUUAUCAUUAUGUGAGAUUUUUACAUUUAGCAAGUUUUAAAAACCGAAUUUGGGGCAAUAAGGAACUAAUAUACCUUUCUAAGGAAAUGUAUAGAAUGUACAAAUUUCUAUAUUGUGGAAAAAGAUCACUUAUCCAAAUAAAUUUGUGAUUAAAGGAAGUUUACAUUAAUAGACUAAAACAAAUGAAAAACAGGCCUUUUCAAUAAUAGUGAUGCUAUUAAACUCCUAGUUAUGAAAGAGAUGCUGCUGAUCAUAAGAAGCAUUGAUAGAGAAUUUAUUGUUUGAAGUCCAUGCAAGCAAAUAAAACACUGCUUUUAACUUUGGUAUUUCAUUGUGAAAGACUUUACAGUCUAAAAACUCAUCGGUUCUACAUGAACUUGAUCAACCAUUGAGGGAAAAGAGGAAAUAUGUCAGGAAUAUAAAAUAAGCUGAAUUAGGAUGUUAGGAUUACCUUUUACAUUUUUUUCUUUGAGCUGUUAACUCUUUCCUGUUUAUGUUGUUAAUUUAGCAAACAGCAGUACUUGUGAUCCAAAGAAAUCUUCCAAAUAGAUUAAAUUAUUUUAUUUCUAGAUCUUUUCCUGUUUACCAAAAAUAAUUCCACAAGAAGCAGUGAAGUAAUGCAUGCAGUUUUCUUGUGCAAGGUUUGAAACUCUGAAUUGUAUUAAAAAUAAAAUGAUUUAUGUCUUGAUA